rnacentral:rRNA from 1 species
GCAAGUCGCACGAGAAAGUUCCUUCGGGAGCGAGUAGAGCGGCGCACGGGUGAGUAACGCGUGGAUGAUCUACCCCCGAGACUGGGAUAACAGUUGGAAACGACUGCUAAUACCAGAUGUUCUUCAUUUUUCAACUUUUGAGGUAAAGGUGGCCUCUAUUUAUAAGCUACCGCUUGGGGAUGAGUCCGCGUUUCAUUAGAUUGUUGGUGGGGUAAUGGCCUACCAAGUCUACGAUGAAUAGCUGGUCUGAGAGGAUGAUC